rnacentral:rRNA from 1 species
UACGGGAGGCAGCAGUAGGGAAUAUUGCACAAUGGGCGAAAGCCUGAUGCAGCUAUGCCGCGUGUAUGAAGAAGGCCUUAGGGUUGUAAAGUACUUUCAUCGGGGAGGAAAAAACAAAACUAAUAAUUUUAUUUCUUGACGUUACCCGAAAAAGAAGCACCGGCUAACUCCGUGCCAGCAGCCGCGGUAAUACGGAGGGUGCUAGCGUUAAUCAGAAUUACUGGGCGUAAAGAGCACGUAGGUGGUUUUUUUAAGUCAGAUGUGAAAUCCCUGGGCUUAACCUAGGAACUGCAUUUUGAAACUGAAAUACUAGAGUAUCGUAGAGGGAGGUAGAAUUCUAGGUGUAGCGGUGAAAUGCGUAGAUAUCUGGAGGAAUACCUGUGGCGAAAGCGGCCUCCUAAACGAAUACUGACACUGAGGGUGCGAAAGCGUGGGGAGCAAACAGGGAUUAGAUACC